GACAGAGGGUGCAAACGUUGUUCGGAAUUACUGGGCGUAAAGCGCGUGUAGGCGGCCAUCUAAGUCGGGCGUGAAAUCCCACGGCUCAACCCGUGGAAGUGCACUCGAAACUGGAUGGCUAGAGUCCUGGAGAGGAAGGUGGAAUGCUUGGUGUAGAAGGUGAAAUUCGUAGAUAUCAAGCGGAACACCGGUGGCGAAGGCGG
rnacentral:rRNA from 1 species